rnacentral:rRNA from 1 species
AUUGAACGCUGGCGGCAUGCUUUACACAUGCAAGUCGAACGGUAACAGGCCGCCAGGUGCUGACGAGUGGGGUACGGGGGGGUAAUGCAUCGGAACGUGCCCAGUCGUGGGGGAUAACUACUCGAAAGAGUAGCUAAUACUGCCUACGAUCUAUGGAUGUAAGCGGGGGGCCGGAAGGGCUCGGGAGAUUGGUUGGGUCGAUGGCGGAUUAGGUAGUUGGUGGGGUAAUGGCUCACCAAGCCAACGAUCUGCAGCUGGUCUGAUAGGACGAGGCGCCACACUGGGACUGAGGCACGGCCCAGACUCCUACGGGAGGCAGCAGUGGGGAAUUUUGGACAAUGGGCGCAAGCCUGAUCCAGCAAUGCCGCGUGCAGGAAGAAGGCCUUCGGGUUGUAAACUGCUUUUGUACGGAGCGAAACGGCUCUGGUUAAUACCCGGGGCUAAUGACGGUACCGGAAGAAUAAGCACCGGCUAACUACGUG